rnacentral:tRNA from 1 species
CGGUUCGGUGUUGGAAUCUGGUUUAGUUUUUUUUUGGUUACGACCGCCGAUCUCACGGUUCGGGUCCGUGAGGUCGGCGGUUCAAAUCCGCCCGCCCCGA